UACGAAGGGUGCAAACGUUGCUCGGAAUUAUUGGGCGUAAAGCGCACGUAGGCGGCUCUGAAAGUUGGAUGUGAAAUCCCUCGGCUCAACCAAGGAAGUGCAUCCAAAACUGCAGAGCUUGAGUACUUAAGAGGAUCGCGGAAUUCCCGGUGUAGAGGUGAAAUUCGUAGAUAUCGGGAGGAACACCAGUGGCGAAGGCGGCGAUCUGGGAAGAUACUGACGCUGAGGUGCGAAAGCGUGGGGAGCGAACAGG
rnacentral:rRNA from 1 species